GAAAUCACAUGAUUCAUGCAUAAUUGGUGGUGAAUGUGAUAACGUAAGGGAAAAAAAUGAUAUUACCUUACUAUUAGUGUUGUCCAAAACUGGUGCCAGAAGACUCGGUAAGGCCAGAGACGCAAACGUUAGUCGUCCUAAUCAGGCGUAAAGGGUUUGUAGGCUGCUUUGAAAGUUUUAUCUUUAUAAUAGCUCUUAAACCGUAGUAUUACAUUUAUUUUAUUAUUAUAAAUAAGUAAAGAUGUGGUACUUUAUUUUUAUGGCUGCUUUUGUUAGCAGUUCUAAAAAUAAAUGAUAUUAAUAUUUUGACUUAAUAUCCGUGUUAAGGUAAAGAAAAAUGAAUUAAAGCUAGAAUCAAAUUGGGGAUAAACCGAAUAAUACUUAGAGUAGGGAUGAAAUCCAUAGAUACUAAGGGGAAUACUAAGGGUGAAAGCUUUUUAUCUACUAAUGAUUGACGCUGAGAAACGAAGGUGAGAAUAGGAAAUAGGAUUAGAUACCCAGAUACCUCUCACUGUCAACGAUGAAUGGUGGUUGUUAGUUUUAAUAAAAACUGGUAACGAUGUUAACACGAUAACCAUUCCGCCUUGCGAGUACGGUUGCAAAACUGAAACCAAAAAAAUUAGUCGGUCU
rnacentral:rRNA from 1 species